rnacentral:misc_RNA from 1 species
UGGUUUUGGACCCGUGUCUGCCGGUAGAUCCCCCGUUUUUGUGCGGCCGACUACCGGCGCCGUGUCCCGUCGUUUCUGUGGCUUUGUGUUACCGUUGCCUUUCAAGUGCUUGCGUGCUGGUACCCGAACUAAGGGAAUUGGUGCUACGAACAUGUUGCCUCGCGGUGGACGCCUUCGGGCGUGCUGCUGCGGCCAAAUGGCGCUUGCGGCGUUGCCUCGUUACGCUGCCACGUUUACGUGGUUGCUGUUAUCAAGGCAACCUCGCUCCUGCUGUUGGUCUCGGAUGUUGCCCACGAUGAAGUCUCAUGGCCCUUUUUGGUUGCCUAGACCCGACCCUAAGAAGCUCUCCGAAUUGAGAACAACCGGAACAUGUGUUGCCGCUACGUAUUCCGCAGUUAGUGGUAUGAUACGCAACAUUUUGCGCCGAUCCUCAAAUAAGUAGGACGAGCUUAGCCCGCUCAAUUGUGACAUCUGGCUCGGGGACUGCUUCUGGCUUGACACGCAAGUGGACGGACGGACGACUCCCGACGCUGGACGUCAACAAGGA